UUCCGAUUAACCCGCACAAGAAUUGCACUGUUUCAAGCUUGCCAGAGUUUUGGAAUUCCAAUUUCCGACCAUGAUCGGGAACUGCACAUUCUCGAUAAGCUUUCUUCUCUAUUCAACUAUGGCGGAGAAGGAUCCUCUUCCUCGCAAUUCCGUGCCUCUGCGAAUGCUAUCCACGACCGGUGCCAAUGCCAGAUUCACUCCUUACCCUAAAAAUAGAAGGCAGAUGAAGCUUCCAAUCCAUAACGUGGACACUUUUAGUGGGACGAAGGGAGUACGACACUAGCUGAUGCUACUAACUCUGUUUCAAGGAAAAGUGAAACUCCUAUUUGACCAGAGAAGAAUGAUGGCAGCAAUGUAAUGCAAGCACAAUGGUUGUGUCCAAUAAUCUCAAUAACGCGAGCUACAUACCUGCCUAUUGCAAAGUUUCUGCGAUUGUGGGUGCUUUCACCUCUGCUUAUGUUGGCUUUUCCCUAUGAGCAAGAAGCUUAAAAUACCAACAAAUAACCCUCAGUCAGAUGUAGUUUUCUCAUGCUUCUUGAUCAUACUCAGGUAUUGCUGAUUCUUUACGAGAUAAUCAAGGGCAAGAGUAGCAAAAUAAAUAAUUACAAAAUAGCGGGAAUAGAUAGAAAUUUGGGGCCAUCAUUUCUAGUAGAUAGGGUGCCUGAGAAGGUCAUAUACCUGAAAGUUGAAUCAAAAAAGUUUUUAAAUUUAUGCUUUGGUAAAUCGUUGACUAUUUAACUGGAGAACAUUUCUUCCCAGGAAAACUGCAUCUUGCUGGGAUAUAAAUGCAGUUUCAUGUUGAAAAUUUGGUGUUGUGAUCUUAAGAGUUGAAGUUUUCAAAAAUCUCUGCAAGAAGAGAUGCUGUUGUUCGUGUUGGUUAAACAUUUUCCAUUGUGGAAUAAACACUGUCCUGGAUUGAAGAUCUGUAUCGUAGUUCUUGAUUCAUCAUGUAGACAGUGUAUGCAGAAUUUAUGUAUGGAUUUGCUUGGUUAAGCAUAUGACCAAAGGUUGUGGACUAGGUGGGCAUUGCUGAAACUUUGAGCGUUGCAGUUGUAAUUUGGUACUUGUAUUACAUUUUUACACACCGACACUUUCUAUGUUGAGAAAGUUUCACGUUUUAGGUUUGUCAUCAUUUUGUGAAUCUGUGGCUUUUUUUAUACGUUCUUAUGUUAUAUUCAGUUUGUGUAACCAAAUAAUAACUGUUACGUAGAAAAAUCAUAUUUGCCAGAAUAAUUUGAUACUAUAAAUUAUUUAUUCAUUUAUGUUGUAAUUCAAGCAGGACUCUUGUUUAAUAGAUGUCUCUAAAAUUUAAUUCUUAAAUACAUUUUUAUGCUUUUAUAAACGUGUUAACACUUUUAUUAUUUUUUUGUUUGACUUAUUGAAGGCAUUAUUUCUGGCUCCAAUUUUUGAUUUUGGAAUCUAAAAGAGGGUGCUAUAUAUACCCCCUCCAUCCGCAUAGAACAUCCCUAGUUUGCGAUUAGAUUUCACAUUUUCAUUUUCGCUUCUGUCUUCAUAGGUAGGUUUCUUGUCUUUCUAGAUUAUAUUGCUUGAUGUUGCUGAGAAUUUUACACCUUAAAUCCAAUAUAUAUAUAUAUAUAUAUUUUGUCAUGUUGCUUUUGUUGUAUUUUCACUAUGCCUUGUAUUUGAAUGAGUUUUUACGAUCUAUUUUUUUCUUGUCUUGUUUCGAUAGAUCUUUUAUCUAUGGAAUCGUCGUAAUUUUUCAUAUUUAUUGAGUUAUGUUGUAAGUGAAUCUUACUACUUCUCAUUUGUUUAGUUAUAUUGAUUUGAGUCGUAUUUUUGAUUCAAUAUUCUUGUUCUUAAAUAAAUAAAUAUAGUAGAAAUAGAUAGAACAUUGGGGCCUUAACUUUUGUAGGUGUUUCCAUUAGACGGGGAGAAUGUCAUAUAUGUUAAAGUUGAAACAAGAAUGUUUUUAAAUUCAUCUCAUGGUAGGCAUUGACUAUUUGUCAGGAGAACAAUCUUCCACGAAAAAUGCACCUGGCUAGGAUAUAAAUGCAGUUCCAUUCUGAAUUUUUUUUUUUUUUGGUCUUAAGAAAUGAAGUUAUUCAAAGUGCAAAUCUUGCAAGAAGGGAUGCUGUUGUUCAUGUUGUAGUCCUUGAUAUGUCAUUUAUAAAUGUAUGCAUAAUUAAUGUAUCAAUAUGCUUGGUUCAACCAUACAACCAAAGGCUUUAGACUAGGUGAGCAUUGCUGAAACUUUGAUUGUUGCAAUUUGAAUUUGGUACUUGGAUUGCAUUUCACAUACGUUUCUCUUUUCAACUUGGGAGAAAGUUUCACAUUUUAGGAUUGUCAUUGUUUUGUGAAUUUGUGGCUGUUCUUAUAUUAUCUUGCCUAUGUCUCACUUUAUUUGCUAGUUUUUUUUUGUUCUGGCACGACAUUUCAGGUGGUAUAAUUUUGAUAGAGUUUUGACCAUUUUGCCUUUAUUUUUCAUUUUUGAUGAUUUUAUAAAUUUUAUUGAUAAGAAGAAAGAUAAAAUUGAGUAUAAAGUAAAGGAAGUUGUAAAACAUAUUGGAACAUCUCAAAAUAUAAAUAAUAGCAAACAAAUUGAGACGAAGGGGUAUUACUUAUGGUAUAACUGGUUUGUGUAAUGAAAUAAUAGUUAUACUAUUAUGUUGAAAGAUCACAUUUGUCACAAUGAUGGGAUACUAUUAAUUAUACAUCAUCUAUGUUGUCAAUCAAACAUGGCCCUUAUACGUUUUUUAUACUUUUAAAAACGUGUUUGCGCUUUUAUAUUUUAUUUUUGAAUUUAUCGAAGGCAUUUUUCCAUCCCCGACUUUAAUUUUGGAAGUCAAAACCUAAUUUGAAACAAGGGGUGCUAUAUAUACCCCCUGAUAUCCGCUUACGGCAGCCCUACCCUCUAAUUAGCUUUGAAAUUUUCAUCGAGUCUUCCGUUUCUUCUCCUAAAAUAUGUUUUUAGCUUUUCUAGAUUACAAUUGCAGGCAGGAUUUAGGAAGUUUUCUUGCCCAAAUAAAAACCGUUAUGUUAAAAAUUCGUAUUUUUCAGAAACUUAGAAUAAUAACUAUUAAUUAUUAAUCAUUAUGUUGUCAAUCAAGCACGACUCUUGUUUAAUAUGUGUCUCAAAUUUAAUCGUUCAAUACGUCUUUAUGCUUUUAUAAACGUGUUUGCGCUUUUAUUAUUUUUUGUUUGCCUUUACUGUAGGCUUUUUUUUCCGCCUCCAGUUUUCGAUUUGGAAGCUAAAUCUAAUCUGCAAAAUGGGGUGCUAUAUGUACCCCCAGCAUCCACACGCAAAGAAAUCCUUAGUUUGCGAUAAGAUUUCACAUUUCAUUUUUGUGUCUGUCUCCAAAGGUAUGUCCCCGGUCUUUCUAGAUUAUAUUACUUUAUGUCGCUGAGAGUUUUUGCACCUUAAAGUCAAUAUAUAUAUAUAUAUAUUUCAUGUUGCUUUUUGUUGUAUUCUUCACCUAUGCCUUGUGUUUGACCUUGUGUUUGAAUGAGUUUUUACGAUCUACUUUUUUCUUAUCUUGUUUUGAUGUAUCUUUUAUCUAUGAAUUCAUUUUUUGGUAUGGAUUUACGAGUUUAAUAUUUUAUAUUGGUGUACUAAGUGAUGUUGCUUGGGAAGCUACGACUUGGCGCUAGAUUGGGUGGAUCUAUGAAUAUAUACAAGUUAUAUAUGAUUUUAUUUCUUGCUUAAUAUGGAAUAAGUGUUGGAAUUUCUCAAAACAUGAUGAAUUUUCUUUGAAUGAUUAAUUUUUAUAAUAAUAUCUAGCAUACGGAUCAGGAGUAAAGUGCCAAUGAAAUCUAUCCAAAAACAGUGUGAUGAUACCUUUGCAACAAGGUUCCCCUUGAGUUCUGUUUUUUAUUUUAUUUUAUUUUAUUUUUUAAAUAAAAACUAUAUGAAUCUUGAUAUAGAGGUUGUUUCAAGUCUUGAAUAUUGUACUAUAGCUAGGUAGUUCAUUUAAAUCUAAAUAUUCAAUUAAGUUUAAGAUUUAAAUGAUUUUGGAGUACCAUUGAUUCAUAGACAAUUUCAACUGCUUGUUUACUGGUGUGCUCUUAGUGCAUUCUUGAAUAUUCUUGUUUUCAUUGAUCUUGACUUUUUAUCUUAUAUGGAUUUCAUGAUAGUUCUUGUAACUUUUAGAAUUAUCAAGGUGAAAAAGCAAAAAAAUGGCCUAUAGAGGACUAGUGCUUCAUGAGGGCUCCAUAUCUCAACCUCUGCAGGAGUUAUCACCUUCAACUCCCUGUUUUGUGCAUGUACUGCAUGAUGCCGACUUCUCCCAGUCACUGCACUUGCCAGCUUCAUUUGCUCCAAGAGUGAAGCACUUGGUGGGCCUAGAAGUCCUACUUGAGGAUAUAUAUGUGGGCAGAUAUGGCCUGUGACUCUUUCCUAUGUCGAAAAUACAUUAUCAUUUGCGGAGGGAUGGAGAAAGUUUCAUAGAAGCCAUGAUCUCGAGAAGGGAUGUUCCUUAGUAUUUAGGUACGUAAAGGAGGGACAUUUUUCUGUUCAAAUAUAUGACCCAAGUGGCUGUGAAAGAACCUGCUUUAUCUAUCCAAUGCGCCUGCUGAACAAUGAUGCUUGGACUCAUGCUGGGGUUGUUUCCAAUAUCCAUUAUGAUGUGGGAAAUGAUAAAGCAAAAAGAAACGACAAAGGAAAGGAGCCAAUCAUAGGAAGGAAACGGGGAUUCAUUGAUCUUGAUGGAGCCCCAUCUAGUGCCAGCCACCGCAUUGCAAAACUGACCCCUGUGAGGCUGAUGAUGCCGCCACCUGGAUUCAACAAGCCUAUAGAAAGUUUUCCCAAUGAGAGAAAUGUUGCCUUGGGACUUGGAAGCAUCCCAAUGGAUAGAGAGGGAGGGGGUUCCAAAGAAGCCCAAUCAUCUCCGAAUAGGAGCUCGAUGAAUCCGUCCAGUUGGAAGGCUUUCCCCCCCUAGACCACCGGGAUUUUGAUGUAGGUUUUGCGUGGGAAACAAGGUGCUGCUUGUUUUGUCUCAAAAAUAUUUAAAUUUUGUCAGGGAAAGAAGUUCUUAUUCCCCCUAUCUACCAGAGAAACUUUCUCGCGAGUCACAGGAUAAGGACCAUUCCCAUUAAAAUCUAUCAAUCGACAUCUGAUGUGUAAAUAAUGACAGAUGUGUACCAUAGUCCAAAUAUGGAUGAGGAGGCAUGGAAUACAUAUGAUGAGCCUACCACAAUGGUUAAAGAGUAUUGCCAUUCAUUCAUUUGGUGUUGCUUAGCCAUACCACAAUUGAUCUAUCAUCUUGGCACAAGAGUGUGUUAAUAUAACAUAAAUGCAUGGCAGGAAGCUUGGCGUUGUUUUGGAAUUCCAAUUUUCAACCAUGAUUGGGAAAUGCACAUACUCAAGAACUUUUCUUCUCUAUUCAACCAUGGCAGAGGAUUCUGUUCCUCGCAAGUCAGCUCUCAAACUCAAAUUAAUCCUUGAUCCCUACCCUACUUGUGUACUGUGGUGCUGCAGAUGCAACCUAAAACAAAGGCAGGUGAAACUUCCAAUUCAUCCAGUAUAGCGAGAUAGCUUCACCACUCUUAAUCAGUUUCCUCUGUUUUUCCAAUGCUUGAAAUGAAUCUGAUGUAUUUUUUUCAUUUAUCAAUGACAAUAAAUUCUCAUUAAAAAAUGACCGGUUUUAGCACUACACACUGCCCCUUCAAUUUUCACAAGA